rnacentral:lncRNA from 1 species
CAAACUUUCGCCUAUAAAAUAUUAGUGUGAUGAGAUGAUAAACAUACUUUAUAAUAAAAAAAAAUAUAGUCUAUUAUUAAUGUUCUAAACAAAAAAUCUAAUGAAAAAAAAACAAACAACUUCAGCAUAUAAAUCACAUUGUAAUGUGAAGGUGAUAUAAUUAAAUUAACAGCUUGCGUUCGCGCAUCUAGAACAAGCUAGGCUUUGCCUGUCGCUUUCAGUCUAUUCAGUCCUUUGCGAGCCACCGUCAAAGACAUACGUGUUAAUUAUUUAUAAAUAUUUAUUAAGUACAAACAAUCAGGUGAGAUUGUAGUCAAAGGCUAACUUGUAAAGAAUAAAAAGAAAAAAGUACAAACAAAAAGGGAAUGUUGGAGUAACAAAGAGAACCGGAUGUAACAAUCUAAAUAAAAAAUAUAUCUUCACGAUAUUCAGUAAAAGCAUUAAUUUUUAGAAUUUGAUAUGUGAUACACAAUGGCUAAAGGUUAAACAAAAUGGAUAACUUGAAUAAUAAGGUACAGUAACUCAACAGUGGUCUCAAAUGAGAAAGGUUCUAAGUUCUAUUCCACUAUUUGGUAUAUUGUAUCCACGAGCUUACGAUAUAAAAAAAUAAGGUAAGAAAGAACUCGAAAGGAAAAAUUUACUUGUAUAUAGUUUGUAUGUAGUACUAGUAACUAAAACAGAUAAGACAUUGUAAUAGUACAAAACAAGGUUGCCAUUUCUGACCUUGAAUUCUACUGAGAGACAUAUCAUUAUUUUAGUUCCAGUGUACAAUAAAUAUUUGCACA